GAUGAAGAACGCAGUGAAAUGCGAUAAGUAAUGUGAAUUGCAGAAUUCAGUGAAUCAUCGAAUCUUUGAACGCACAUUGCGCCCUCUGGUAUUCCGGAGGGCAUGCCUGUUCGAGCGUCAUUUCGACCCUCAAGCAUUGCUUGGUGUUGGGGCACCGCCUGUAAAAGGGCGGGCCCUGAAAUCUAGUGGCGAGCUCGCCAGGACCCCGAGCGUAGUAAUUAUAUUUCGUUCUGGAAGGCCCUGGCGGUGCCCUGCCGUUAAACCCCCAACUUCUGAAAAUUUGACCUCGGAUCAGGUAGGAAUACCCGCUGAACUUAAGCAUAUCAAUAAGCGGAGGA
rnacentral:misc_RNA from 1 species